rfam:Lupinus angustifolius cultivar Tanjil chromosome LG17, whole genome shotgun sequence.
AACCCAUGGUUAGGGCAUUUUCUGAGCAUGGAUUUGAAUCUGUCCCAUGCCUCGCAUAGACUCUCACCAAAAGGCUGGAUGAAAGUGGAGAUAGCAGUUUUCAAGUC